rnacentral:hammerhead_ribozyme from 1 species
AUCCAAUUAACGAGUCCUGAAUAGGACAAAACGCUCGUCCUGGAU